GCAGGUGGAGGUCGUUAGCCGUGGUAGGCAAUUCACCUAGGAGAGCAAACUCUAAACAAACCCGGGCAGGUGGAGGUCGUUAGCCGUGGUAGGCAAUUCACCUAGGAGAGCAAACUCUAAACAAACCCGGGCAGGUGGAGGUCGUUAGCCGUGGUAGGCAGUUCACCUAGGAGAGCAAACUCUAAACAAACCCGGGCAGGUGGGGCUCGUUAGCCGUGGUAGGCAAUUCACCUAGGAGAGCAAACUCCGAACAACAAACCCGGGCAGGUGGAGCUCGUUAGCCGUGGUAGGCAGUUCACCUAGGAGAGCAAACUCCGAACAAUAAACCCGGGCAGGUGGAGGUCGUCAGCCGUGGUAGGCAGUUCACCUAGGAGAGCAAACUCCGAACAAUAAACCCGGCCAGGUGGAGGUCGUCAGCCGUGGUAGGCAGUUCACCUAGGAGAGCAAACUCCGAACAAUAAACCCGGCCAGGUGGAGGUCGUCAGCCGUGGUAGGCAGUUCACCUAGGAGAGCAAACUCCGAACAAUAAACCCGGCCAGGUGGAGGUCGUCAGCCGUGGUAGGCAAUCUGCCUAGGAGAGCAAACUCCGAACAAUAAACCCGGCCAGGUGGAGGUCGUCAGCCGUGGUAGGCAAUCUGCCUAGGAGAGCAAACUCCGAACAAUAAACCCGGCCAGGUGGAGGUCGUCAGCCGUGGUAGGCAAUCUGCCUAGGAGAGCAAACUCCGAACAAUAAACCCGGGCAGGUGGAGGUCGUCAGCCGUGGUAGGCAAUCUGCCUAGGAGAGCAAACUCUAAACAAACCCGGGUUUGUGGUGCUCGUUAUACUGUCGUAGACAAUCCACGCGAUGGGAACACCAAAGAAAAGGAAAAUAAAAAGGAACACCAGAAAAAUGGAAAAUACAGAAACGAAACAUCAAGAAACAAAAAGAUCAUCCACCUUUAGGCCCUAACAUCGCCAAAAUUAUGGAUGGGUCUCUUCUGGGGAGAAAGCGGCUCAUCCAGACCAAAGAACAUCAACCAAAGGAUGAUAUGAAUAAAUGAAAUAAAAAAAAAACAAAGAAAAACACAUCAAGGAAAGAAAAAUAUAACAAACAUCAUCCACCUUCCGGCCCUGACUAACAUCACCAAAAUUAUGGGUGGGUCUCUUCUGGGGAGAAAGCGGCUCACCCAGACCAAAGAACAUCAACAAGGGAUGAUAUAGAAAAGAACACCAAAAAAAUGGAAAAAGAUCAGAAAAAACAUCGAAAAAGAAAAGCAACAGAAAUAAAUGAACAACAUCAAGAAAAGAGAAAUACAAAGAAGCAUCAUCCACCUUUCGGUCCCAAACAACAUCACCAAAAUUAUGGAUGGGUCUCUUCUGGGAGGAAAGCGGCUCAUCCAGACCAAGGAACAUCAACAAGAGGAUGAUAGGAAAAAAGAACAUCAAAAAGCAUCAAUAAGAAGUAAAAGAAAAAGAACAGGAAAACAUCGAAAAGGAAAACUAAAGCAAUAAAAAGAACGAAAAACACGACAUCAAGAAAAUGAAAUAAAACAAACAUCAUCCACCUUUUGGUCCUUACAACAUCUCCAAAAUUAUGGGUGGGUCUCUUCUGGGAGGAAAGCGGCUCACCCAGACCAACGAACAUCGACAAAAGGAUGAUAGGAAAAAAGAACACCAAAAAAGAACAUCAAAAAAGAAAACCAACACCGAGAAAACACA